UCAAGUAUAAAUACGUCAUAUAAGUAGUAGGAACCUGUGUCCUAAGGUCUAAUUUGUCAGCGAAGUGAUCUCUCAGCUGUGAAGUUAUGACCUGUCUUCUUAAUAGAGUUAAAAAUCGUUGAAAUGAAUCCUCGGCGGGUUUUCAGCAAAAUCUAAGUGUACAUUAAGUGAGCAUUGCCCGGUUCGGUAUUACUAGCAUUAAAGUGAAUGUGUUUUUAGUGGAGCCAUCUAUGUGCAUCACAUAACAGCCAAACCGACUAGCAGGCUUCUGCGCAUGAUUAACUUUUGAAUCACAGACUUCUAUGUAACAGCACCCGGCCUCGAGUUCUUUCUGUGUACAGGCAUCAAAGAAGAAACAACACAGGUUUAUAGCUGCUACGAACAAAACAUGAAGGAAUCCUGGACGAGGCAAGUUUUCAAUAACUGAUCGGGCAACCCCAUCAAGGAAAUUAAAAAUCGGAAGAAAAACCUAUUGUUACACUGGUUGUAAAAGAAGAAAACAGCUGAAAACUAAACGGUGAUUCGUCACAAUGAACAAUCCGAAGAAGCUGGAGGAACUUCUAUAAUUUAGUAGCCGAAUGGUCAGCAGAAUCCAAUCCAGUUGAACAUCAGAUCCGUAAUUAGGGGGUAUGGGACUAUGAAAUACUACUGUCCACUAAGAGAAACCAGCGCAAUUGUAGCAGUUAAAUCAUUUGAAACUAAAGUUCCCCCUCCACGGCAACGUACAGUUUAUGAAUGGCGCCAGCAGAUUCAAGUUCAUCAAGGGGACACUUGAGAUUUAUAAGCUCGACUAAGGAUUCGGUUGGGUACCGGGGUACUCUAGAGGUUCGGCUAGAAUCAGUCAUGUACCGUUCCAAUCAAUGGAGCACGCUAUGGCUGAUAGACAGUUUCAAAUCCAGCAAAUUUCGGAGAAAUCAAAAUCUCGACUUUGGAGCUGACUGCUACAGACACAAAUAGAUCACUUACAUGCUCAUUCAUGUUAAAUUCAUAACAGGAUAC